rnacentral:rRNA from 1 species
UACGUAGGCAGCAAGCGUUGUCCGGAAUUAUUGGGCGUAAAGAGCUCGUAGGCGGUUCGUCGCGUCGGCUGUGAAAACCUGAGGCUCAACCUCAGGCCUGCAGUCGAUACGGGCGGACUUGAGUACUGCAGGGGAGACUGGAAUUCCUGGUGUAGCGGUGAAAUGCGCAGAUAUCAGGAGGAACACCGGUGGCGAAGGCGGGUCUCUGGGCAGUAACUGACGCUGAGGAGCGAAAGCGUGGGGAGCGAACAGG